AGGCGCUGAGGAGAAGCGGGUGCUCUUCCCGGAGGAGCCAGGAAGGAAAACCGCAGGUGCCGGUGCCGGGCUUUCCUCCCGGGUGGUGUGUCACCCCGGCGGCUCUCGGUUCUCCUUUCCUGGCGCCGGGUGGCUAAGUUCAGGGAAGGGCAGGGGCCGGGCCGGGCGGAGCCUGUGACCGGGUUUCCCUCAGGACGCGGGGGGAGAAGCCGCCCGAGUCUCCAGAAAGAUGCAGUUCUUCGGUCGGCUGGUGAAUACCAUCAGCAGCGUCACCCAAAUAUUCACAAACCCUUACCGGGUGAAGGAGGUGCCGGCUGCGGAGUAUGCCGCUCAUACGUGCCUGAGGGAGGAAGGCAGGGUGGCCCUGUAUAAGAACAGCUAUGCUCGCUCAUGGGAUUGCCUGCUGGUGAAUCCCCAGAGUCCACAGGUCGCUUUCCGGCUCUUCCAGCUGGACAAUGAAGCAGAUGCCCUGAUGCGUUUUGAGCAGUAUGCCAGGCAGCUGCACCCUUUCUACAAGAGCUCGCGCCAGCCCUUGUCGCUGGAGGAUCUCCAGCAGCUCAGUGACUGCUUCCGCAACCACCCCAGCUGGUCCUUGGCACAUGUCGCGGUGGAGAUGGGCCAUCGUGAGAGCUUCCGGCACAACCACGUUCUGAGCUGCGUGAACAGCACGGACAGCGAGGAUGGCUGCACCCCGCUGCACCUGGCGUGCCUCAAGGGAGACAUGGAGUGCCUGCUGGAGCUGCUGGAGUGCCACGCGCGGGUGGACAUUACUGACAGGAACGGGGAGACUGUUUUCCACUAUGCUGUGCGAGGGAACAGCCCCCAGACCAUCGAGCUCCUGGGCAGAACCCCAACUGCUGGCUUGGACCACCUGAGCCAUGAGGGGCUGACCGCUCUGCAUCUCGCUUGUCAGCUGGGCAAAGAGGACAUGGUUCGGUCUCUGCUGAAAUGCCAUGCCAGCUGCAGUGUCAUGGGGACGCUGGGCUACCCCAUCCACACGGCACUGAAGUUCUCCCAGAAGGGGUGUGCCCAGGCCAUCCUCGAGGUGGAUGCCAGCCAGGUUCGCUCCAAGGACCCGCGCUAUGAAGCCACUCCUCUGCACUGGGCGAAGAAAGCAGAGAUGACACGGCUGCUGCUUGAGUACGGCUCUGAGGUGAACUUGACCAGCCGGACGGCUGACAUGGCUCUGCACAUUGCGGUCAAGAGGGGACGCUUUGACUGUGCCAUGGUACUGUUGACAACCGGCGCCCACACCAAUGCCAGGGGUCAGGAUGGCAACACACCACUGCACCUGGCCAUGAAGCAUGACCACCUGGAUAUGAUCAAAGCGAUUGUUGUGUUUGGAGGAGAUGUCGAGAUCCCCAAUGAUUUCGGGGAGACACCAGGACUGUUGGCAGCCAGGAGCAGCAAAGGUGCGAACCGGAAAGUGCUCUUAGACCUGCUGCAAACUGUAGGGACCGAACGCUGCCACCCACCCAAUCCCGACUCCCCAAGCCUGGCACCAUCUGCCGCCUCCUUCUUCCUGGAAGGCCACCCUUCCUCGCGGAGCAGCGUCAACAGCUUAGGGUACAAGGACCUUCUGUAUGUUUCCACAACGCUCGGACAGUUGUUGAAAGCACCAGAUGUUGUGGACUCGCCCAGUGAGGGUAGAAGAAAUCACGACCGCCUCCUGUGCCUGGAUGGAGGGGGCAUCCGGGGCCUGGUGCUCAUCCAACUCCUCCUGGCUAUCGAAAAGGCUGCGGGCCGUCCCGUUCGUGAGGUUUUUGACUGGAUCGCGGGGACCAGCACUGGGGGGAUCUUGGCCUUGGCUAUUGUACACGGGAAGUCCAUGGACUACAUGCGCUGCCUGUACUUCCGCAUGAAGGACAUGGUAUUCCGGGGGUCUCGGCCCUACGAGUCGGAGCCCCUGGAUGAGUUCUUGAAGAAGGAAUUUGGGGAAAACACCAAAAUGACAGAUGUCCAAAAACCCAAGGUUAUGGUGACAGGGACGUUGUGCGACCGGCAGCCAGCUGAGCUCCACCUUUUCCGGAAUUACCCCGUACCAGAGACAAAAACCUCCACUGAAUACAAGACAAGCGCAUCUUUCAAACCACUCACUCAGCCAGAAGACCAACUUGUAUGGCGUGCUGCCCGCUGCAGCGGUGCGGCUCCCACAUAUUUCCGGCCGAUAGGCCGCUUUCUGGAUGGUGGGCUACUAGCCAACAACCCGACCCUUGAUGCCUUGACAGAGAUCCACGAGUACAACAAGACGCUGAUCAAGAAGGGUCAGAGGCAGAAAGUAAGAAAAUUGGGGUUGGUGGUCUCCCUGGGGACAGGGAAGCCUCCGCAGGUCCAGGUGAGCUCUGUGGAUGUUUUCCGUCCCUCCAACCCUUGGGAGCUGGCGAAGACCGUCUUUGGGGCCAGGGAGCUUGGCAAGAUGGUGGUGGAUUGUUGCACUGACGCAGAUGGCCCAGCUGUGGAUCGUGCCAGGGCCUGGUGCGAGAUGACGGAUGUCCCAUAUUUCCGGCUCAGCCCGCAGCUGCACACGGAGGUGAUGUUGGAUGAGGUGAACGACACCGUGCUGGUGAAUGCUCUCUGGGACACCCAGCUUUACAUCUACCAGCAGCGGGAGCAGUUUGAGCAGCUGGUGCAACAUCUCUGCCGAUGACUGACCUGGAGGUUCCUGUUCAGCAUCUCCGUGGCAAGGAGCAGCAGACACUGCUCAGAUUUGCCCUUGAACCAAGAUGUUGAGGACACACCCAUGUAUUCCCGGACAGCUGUGAAAUGCUGACAGUUAUCUCCGUAUUGUGGCCCCAUCUCUGCUGCUGUGCUCUGUUUUGCUGCCCUGCUCUCUGACCGUACAGCCCUUCCCAGAAGCCAGAGCCCCCACCUACCUGUCUUGAGCUGUAGCAGCUGGAGUCUGUCUCCUGUCUGUGCAGCACCUCCACUGACAAAGCACCAUGCACCUUCCCACAUCACAGAAUGGGCCAAGGCCAGGUAAAGCGUCAGGGAUUACUUGGCCCACUGGGGCCAAGGUGUUUCGGAGUGUAUAGUAUGGGGAAAAGGGAUUAUUCUUCCCUCAACACGCCCGGUUUGAAGGGGAGCAGAAACGCUGCAACUUUCUGCAGUAGAUGUGAUGCAGAAUGUUGCAACUGGCCUUGGGAGAAGGGGGAACCUUUCCUGAGCCAGUUGUCUUCUGUAGCACCUUCCCCUUUCCCCUCCGAGGUGGGCUGGCAACACAGGUACUGGCUGCGCCAAGGGUGGGAGCAGACCACCCCCCCCACCCCGAGACUGUUUUGUGCCACCUGACUUGCUGUGCUACUCUUUGCUGAAGAGCUGAGAUGUGAAAGCCUGUCUUUACUUGUAGCAAGCUCAAGAUGAGGGACAAUAGCCUUGGUUUGGCAGAGAGAUCGUUUCUCUUUAUUCUUAAUGUGGAAUUGAAAUGCUCUGAGAUCAGUUCCCACUAAAGAAGCUGGCCCCGUGACAGUUUGGAUUUACUUUUUUUACUGGUGGAAAUUCCGUUGUGAAUGCUACACUACGCAAUGUUUCUGUAGUAAAUUUUCGUAUUUAUAAAUAAUUUAUGUAUCUUUGGAGGCAUUUUGAGGAGUAACCUGAAGAACUGAAUUCGUAAUCGUUUGCUUUUGACUGGAUGGACUGCUGUUGUGAGCAGUGCUUCUAUGCAGAACUAACAUGACCUGAAAUAAAGAGGUUUCCAUUUGGUUCCACUGU